rnacentral:rRNA from 1 species
AGGACGAACGCUGGCGGCGUGCUUAACACAUGCAAGUCGAGCGGAAAGGCCCUUCGGGGUACUCGAGCGGCGAACGGGUGAGUAACACGUGAGUAAUCUGCCCCUAGCUCUGGGAUAGCUCCGGGAAACCGGGAUUAAUACCGGAUACGACCACCUUAGACAUCUUUUGUGGUGGAAAGAAUUUCGGCUAGGGAUGAGCUCGCGGCCUAUCAGCUUGUUGGUGGGGUAAUGGCCUACCAAGGCGACGACGGGUAGCCGGCCUGAGAGGGCGACCGGCCACACUGGGACUGAGACACGGCCCAGACUCCUACGGGAGGCAGCAGUGGGGAAUAUUGCGCAAUGGGCGAAAGCCUGACGCAGCGACGCCGCGUGGGGGAUGAAGGCCUUCGGGUUGUAAACCCCUUUCAGCAGGGACGAAGCGAAAGUGACGGUACCUGCAGAAGAAGCGCCGGCUAACUACGUGCCAGCAAGCCGC